CGGUAGACGCUACGGACUUAAAAUCCGUCGACUUUAAAAAUCGUGAGGGUUCAAGUCCCUCUAUCCCCA
rnacentral:tRNA from 1 species